AACCUUCAACAAAAGAACUUAAGAGAGCAUACUCUCCCCAAAUAAGAGAGUUUGAUCGAAGGGAACCCAAGAAUAUGAAGUUGAUCAAAAAUAGAAGACAACUAAACUUGGGAAUUCAACACCCCCACUAAGCACUUGGAGAAAGAAGAAAUAUUUCCUUCAUCCAAAUCAUCUUCAAGCUAUUUAUAACGUCCUAAGAAGGAGGAUGGACAAGUUUUGAGUUAUUUAUCUUUCAAAUAUUUGGUGCUACUAGAGGAAACCAUGUAUUUAAAGCAGGUGGUCCCAUUAAAAUAACCUCAAUGUCCAAAC
rnacentral:lncRNA from 1 species